rnacentral:rRNA from 1 species
UGGGGAAUAUUGCACAAUGGGCGAAAGCCUGAUGCAGCAACGCCGCGUGCGGGAUGACGGCCUUCGGGUUGUAAACCGCUUUCAGCAGGGACGAAGGGAAAAUGACGGUACCUGCAGAAGAAGCACCGGCUAACUACGUGCCAGCAGCCGCGGUGAUACGUAGGGUGCGAGCGUUGUCCGGAAUUAUUGGGCGUAAAGAGCUUGUAGGCGGUCUGUUGCGUCGGAAGUGAAAACUCAGGGCUUAACCCUGAGCCUGCUUUCGAUACGGGCAGACUUGAGGGAUGUAGGGGAGAGCGGAAUUCCUGGUGGAGCGGUGGAGUGCGCAGAGAUCAGGAGGAACACCAGUGGCGAAGGCGGUUCUCUGGACAUUUCCUGACGCUGAGAAGCGAAAGCGUGGGGAGCAAACA